rnacentral:lncRNA from 1 species
UAUCUGACACUGUCCCUCUUGGCGAUGACCUGAGAUCCAAUCAUCACGUCCUUGCCUACUUCACUCGGCUCGACGCUAAACUUGCACUCCAGGCAUUCUGUCUUAGAUCUGCUUAUUUUGAAACCCUUAGACUCGAGAGUCUGUCUCCAUUCCUCUAACCUCUCAAUAUCACCGACCCUCGUCUCGUCUAUCAAGACUAUGU